GAUAUUUUAGCUUGGUUGGUUAGAGCAUGAUGCUAAUAAUGACACAGUUUUGGGUUCAAUCCCCACACAGGCUA